rnacentral:rRNA from 1 species
CGUAGACGGCUUUUUAAGUCUGGAGUGAAAGUCCUGCUUUCAAGGUGGGAAUUGCUUUGGAGACUGGAAAGCUUGAGUGCGGAAGAGGUAAGUGGAAUUCCCAGUGUAGCGGUGAAAUGCGUAGAGAUUGGGAAGAACACCAGUGGCGAAGGCGACUUACUGGGCCGUAACUGACGUUGAUGCGCGAAAGCGUGGGGAGCGAACA